UACGAAGGGGGCUAGCGUUGCUCGGAAUUACUGGGCGUAAAGCGCACGUAGGCGGCUUCUUAAGUCGGAGGUGAAAUCCUGGAGCUCAACUCCAGAACUGCCUUCGAUACUGGGAAGCUCGAGUCCGGGAGAGGUGAGUGGAACUGCGAGUGUAGAGGUGAAAUUCGUAGAUAUUCGCAAGAACACCAGUGGCGAAGGCGGCUCACUGGCCCGAUACUGACGCUGAUGCACGAAAGCGUGGGGGAGCAAACAGG
rnacentral:rRNA from 1 species